AUACGAACGGUGCAAGCGUUGUUCGGAUUUACUGGGCGUAAAGAGAGUGUAGGUUGUUUAUUAAGUCGGAUGUGAAAUCCCGGGGCUCAACCUCGGAACUGCAUUCGAUACUGGUAGACUAGAGUUCGGGAGGGGUAAGCGGAAUUCCGUGUGUAGCAGUGAAAUGCGUAGAUAUACGGAGGAACACCUGAGGCGAAGGCGGCUUACUGGACCGAUACUGACACUGAGACUCGAAAGCGUGGGUAGCAAACAGGAUUAGAAACCCCGGUAGUCC
rnacentral:rRNA from 1 species